AUGCCCAUUUGUUUCCUGUCUCCCAGUGCUCUUAGCUUUCUUAUUGCAGACCUGCAUGGUUACAACAAAAUGAUCUGCAAAACUGAAAAUAUUUACUCUCUCGCUUUUACAGAAAAGGCUGGUCAGCCUCUGGUCCGGUACCAGGCAAGUGAUUGGAGUCCCUUUCCAGUUUGGAAACAUCUGGGCAGGCCCAGCUGAUAAGGUUACUUUUCUACUUUGAACAAGCAAACAAGCCAACAGAAGAGAAGUUUCACAAGCAACUCCCAGCACAUCCGCUCACCUAGUGUUGUCUGUGACCUCACUCUCGGUGCCCCACCUCUUAUUACAGAUUGAACAGGGUCCAGGGGGAAGGACCAAGCCUGUCCCAUCGGCCAUCCUAUGUGUCAUGUCCUGGGACCCAGUGGAUGCUCAGCACCUGAAGAAGAUUGUCUUAGACACAUGGAAGCUGAGGACGCCUACUGUCCCCUCGGAACCCAGCUUCUGCAUCUCUGAAGACAGAUGAUGAGGACCCUUCACGUAAGCCGUUCGCACAGCCCUGUGCAGGCCUUUGUGCUGCACGUUCUGCCCGGCGAGAUAACUGAGUGCAUUCCAUGGUGCAUCCUCGCCUAGAAUUGAGUGGAAGCAAGUCCAUCUCAGAAGGGACAUAACUGAAGAGGGAUGGCUUUCCAGACUCUGAUGGGCAGCGAGAGCUGCAGCCUGGCCCUGUGUAAAACAUGAAGCGUGGACGGCCUGUUGAGCACAGCUCUGCCCUCAAGACCUGUUUCAACUCCUCUCUUCCCGGAAAACAGCAUCUCUGAGCCCGCCCUUGGUGACCUCAGAGAGAUCACCCUAGUGGCCCAGGCUAGUGACCGGGAACAUGUACCUUCCUGCAGCCAACCCCAGACGUCCACUGAUGCAUCAUAUACUGGCAAAGAUCCUGGCCUAGGGGGGCCUUGGCCGCUGGAGAUUCGCCAGAUGUUGGACUCCAGGUAAGCUUGCUCCUGGGAGGUGGGGCGGUUAGGUCAGGGGGCAGCGGCAGCGACAGGGGGGCGGAGCGCGGCUGCCUCUGGCGAACUGUUGGAAUAGCUGCCUUCUCCCGGCUGCCGGGCCUGGGAGCGGCCUCUGCUGCCCCUGGUCACCGUACACGCCUGUCCCGCUCAGCUUGCUGAGUGGGGACGGUGCCAUUAAUGUGCGGGGCCCACGGGGUUAGGGGGGCUGCCGCGCGGAAGCCGGUCAGUUCGCUCAGCUCUCCCCCGCGGCGGAGCCAGUGGCAGCUUCUGCUGCCGUAGAGGCGGGACGCCGGUCUCCAGGUGAGCUUGCCCCUGGGAGGCGGCGGCGGCGGCUGCAGGGGGAGGGGGUCCGUUCCAGGGAGCUGCUCCAUUUCUUCUGUCCCGCGCGGCCUGGCCUGAGGGCGACCUCUGCCGCCGGAGAUUUGCCUGCGGUCCGACUCCAGGUGAGGUUGCACCUGGGAGAUGGGUGCGGUGCAGUCAGGGGGCUGGUAAGGUGGUGGCUGCGGGGAUAGGGAGGCUGCCCCGGGGGAGCUUGUGUAUUAGCUCCCAUGUCUGUGCCGCGUGGCCUGCAGGCGGCCUCUGCUGCGCCAGGUCCCCGGACACCCCUGUCCCACUUUGCCUGCUGGGGGCGGGAGGCAGGGUAGUCAGGGUACACGGGUGGCGGGGGU